GAUGAACGCUGGCGGCGCGCCUAACACAUGCAAGUCGAACGGCACCCCUCCUCGGAGGGAAGCGAGUGGCGAACGGCUGAGUAACACGUGGAGAACCUGCCCCCUCCCCCGGGAUAGCCGCCCGAAAGGACGGGUAAUACCGGAUACCCCGGGGUGCCGCAUGGCACCCCGGCUAAAGCCCCGACGGGAGGGGAUGGCUCCGCGGCCCCUCAGGUAGACGGCGGGGUGACGGCCCACCGUGCCGACAACGGGUAGCCGGGUUGAGAGACCGACCGGCCAGAUUGGGACUGAGACACGGCCCAGACUCCUACGGGAGGCAGCAGUGGGGAAUCUUGCGCAAUGGGGGGAACCCUGACGCAGCGACGCCGCGUGCGGGACGGAGGCCUUCGGGUCGUAAACCGCUUUCAGCAGGGAAGAGUCAAGACUGUACCUGCAGAAGAAGCCCCGGCUAACUACGUG
rnacentral:rRNA from 1 species